rnacentral:rRNA from 1 species
ACGGGUGCGUAACACGUAUGUAACCUACCUUAAUCAGGGGGAUAGCCUCUCGAAAGAGAGAUUAAGACCGCAUAACAUCAUGAUGCAGCAUUGCAAUGUGAUCAAAUAUUUAUAGGAUUAAGAUGGGCAUGCGGAACAUUAGCUAGUUGGUAAGGUAAAGGCUUACCAAGGCUACGAUGUUUAGGGGAUCUGAGAGGAUGACCCCCCACACUGGUACUGAGACACGGACCAGACUCCUACGGGAGGCAGCAGUAAGGAAUAUUGGUCAAUGGGCGAAAGCCUGAACCAGCCAUGCCGCGUGCAGGAAGACUGCCCUACGGGUUGUAAACUGCUUUUGUACCGGAAUAAACCUUGAUACGUGUAUCAAGCUGAAUGUACGGUAAGAAUAAGGAUCGGCUAACUCCGUGCCAGCAGCCGCGGUAAUACGGAGGAUCCAAGCGUUAUCCGGAUUUAUUGGGUUUAAAGGGUGCGUAGGUGGCUUUUUAAGUCAGGGGUGAAAGACGGUAGCUUAACUAUCGCAGUGCCUUUGAUACUGAAGAGCUUGAAUGAACUAGAGGUAGGCGGAAUGUGACAAGUAGCGGUGAA